rnacentral:rRNA from 1 species
GUAACACGUAUGCAACCUACCCUUUACUGGGGCAUAGCUCAGAGAAAUCUGAAUUAAUUCCCCAUAAUACAAUUGAAUGGCAUCAUUUAAUUAUUAAAGCUGAGGCGGUAAAGGAUGGGCAUGCGUUGCAUUAGCUAGUUGGUGAGGUAAUGGCUCACCAAGGCUACGAUGCAUAGGGGUUCUGAGAGGAUGAUCCCCCACACUGGUACUGAGACACGGACCAGACUCCUACGGGAGGCAGCAGUAGGGAAUAUUGGUCAAUGGACGCAAGUCUGAACCAGCCAUGCCGCGUGCAGGAAGACGGCCCUCUGGGUUGUAAACUGCUUUUAUAUGGGAAGAAACCUCAUUAUGCGUAAUGAACUGACGGUACCAUAUGAAUAAGGAUCGGCUAACUUCGUGCCAGCAGCCGCGGUAAGACGAAGGAUCCAAGCGUUGUCCGGAUUUACUGGGUUUAAAGGGUGCGUAGGCGGAAUUUUAAGUCAGUGGUGAAAGCCCUUCGCUCAACGAAGGAACUGCCAUUGAAACUGAAAUUCUUGAAUACGGUUGAGGUAGAUGGAAUAUAACAUGUAGCGGUGAAAUGCUUAGAUAUGUUAUAGAACACCGAUUGCGAAGGCAGUCUACUAAGCCGUGAUUGACGCUGAGGCA